rnacentral:lncRNA from 1 species
UUUCUUACAACAUUAUAGUAUUUUACUAUUUAUUAUCAAAUUAUUUACAGGUUUUUAGAAAGUGAAAUUGUGAUGCCAAAUGUUAUUUUAUAUCAAAGUUAUAUUUCUUCCUAGUGCCUUAAAAUUGUUACAUAAAGUUAUACCUUUUUCCCAUUCGUAUGCCUUAGCACCAAAAUCAAGCCAUAGCGAUAACAUUCGUGGCAUUGACUGAUAUAUGAACUGAUUUCCAUACUGAAGAGAUCUGCAAUUAUAUGAGCAAGAAAGUUUUUUGUAGGUUAUAUGAACUAGAAUGUAAAAGCUUAAACUUUAGUUAUGUACAGUCUUCUGAUAAAAACUGUAUCACCUACUUAUCCAUCUAUCUGGCUAACGCAGUAUGUAGCUGAGAUGAGACUCUGAAUCCUCUGCUUCUACCUCCCAAGUUAGCGACUACAGGCAUGGGUGGGUAUUUGGUGCCACCUAUCAAACCCAGGGCUUCAUGCAUGACAAGAAUACACUUUACCUACUGUGAUAAUAGUCCUAGUCCCUGAAACAAUGGUACUGAUAUUUCUUCACAGUAGGUUAUUUUCCCUUCUUUUAUCUUUUCUUGCUAAAGUAUUCAGUUAGCCUGCAUCAAAAAUUAUAUAUAUAUAUAUUGAGUUAGUCAAAGGACUUUUUAAUACUUCUUGCAAAUGGUCCUUAGAAUCUGGACCUCAGUUUGUAUUCUAUGGUAGUAAGCUUAAUGCUCAGGCCUAAUCAUUCUAUUUCUGAGAGAUUUCAUUUCUAUAUUUUUCUUCAUAUUUUCCCACUUACAGAUGAUGCAGAACGAGAUAUAUGUUUAUAAUCCUGAAGCCAGUAGCUUGAGUUUUUAUCACAGACUUUCCCAAAAUAUAUAACCUUUACAAGUAUCUGCUUUGCUUCUGGUAUGGUGCAUAUACAUCUCCAUCCAUUCCCAGGGAAAAGUGUGAACGCAAACCAUCACUACCACAAACUACGAAGUGGCUUUCCCUCAUUUGGAAAAGCCACAUGUGACAGCACAGCUAGAGUAUAAUGGCUAAGCGCAGCCUACAAAAAACCAUCCCCCGAUCCUCAGUCUUUGUAAUCAUGAUAACUUCCCUGCCAAGCAAGUUUUUUUUAAAUAUUUGUAUCAUCCAUUUUUAUAUCUACACACAAGUUCUAUUACAAACUAUUAUCUAAAUGUUUUAUAUAUUUAAGGUUUCAUUAACUAUAAUUAAACUGCUUUUGAGGACAUUCACACUAAAGCAGUAGUAACAAUUAUUUAAGGUACAUUCAGGUAUUCAAGUGAAUAUAACUUAACAGCUAAUUUUUACUCUUAUGAAAAUAUAAAUAUAGGGGCUGGAGAGAUGGUGCAGUACUUCAGAGCACUUGUUGCUCUUGCAGAGGACCUAGGAUUUGUAGCACCUACAUAGUGGUUUAUUAUCAUUCAUUAUUACUCCAGUUUCCAGAGGAUCUGAUGCCCUCUACUGACCUUCAUAGGCACCAAGCACAUACAUGGUACAUAUUCAUACAUACAUACAUACAUACAUACAUACAUACAUACAGGCAAAACACACAUAAAAUAAAGCAAGGAAAUCUGAUAAUAAAACCUUUAAAUACUAGUACAAAAAUCCAAAAUUUACAGUAUCACAGCUAUAAGUAUGCUGUAGAAGCUGAGAGUAGUACUAUACAUUUAAUAAUCCCAUCAUUUAGGAAGCUAAGGCUGAGAGAACAGCUUGGGCUAUAUAGGCAAGAACCUAUCACAAACAAAAUCCCCAUCAACAACAAAAACAAUAACAACC